CCUUGCCAUGCCUAGUCAAGAUGUGGUC
rnacentral:piRNA from 1 species